rnacentral:lncRNA from 1 species
GCCAUCCAUCCCAACCCCACAGGGAUCUCUGCUUCUCCCACCCUCCCCACCCCCCCCAGACCUCGAGAGCGCAAACACAGAGCAGUGGAAAAUGUGACCACGGUGGAACUGCAGAGAUGUGGGGCUGAGCAGCGCCAGCUGGAGCAGCACGGCUUGGCUGCAGGGCAGUGGGACCCGGCGGGGGGGGAGGGGGGGCACAUCCUCUCACCUCCAUCCCUGCGCUCCCAGGCCUUCCACUGCCCCACGGGGACACACAGCCGCCCCACGGGGACAGUCUGGCAAAGGAAGGGGCUGCAGGACUCCAGGCUGGCUCAGAGGGGGGGGUCCAUGGGGUUGGAGGCAGAUGGGAGGAUGGAAAUGCCACGGGGUGGUGACACACGGACAGGAUGAGAUGCCCAGUGAUGGUGGCGCACCGGGAGAUGGAGGUGCCAUGGGAUGGUAUCAUACUGCAAUGCAAUGAGAAGCACAGCAGUGACAGCAGAGCGGCAACGUCCCAGGCUGCAGCAAGCGGGGACUUGCUCAAACACAACAACUAUGAGCACAGAAACAAAGGAAGGGAGGAAGGAAGCUGCUUACCUCCUGAAGGCCGCAGGUACACAGAGAGCUCCAGGGAGUGCCCCUCACCUCCACUGCCAGGCCUUCAAUGAGGGCUGGGAAGGGGUGGGUCCUGGCUCCAGCCCUCCCACUCACUCAGCUGUAUUGCAUUGCACGCACCUGAGCUCCCCGGGCUGGCCCGGCCUUCCGCCACGUGCUCCGUCACUGCUUCAGGCCGGGACUCAGCACUGCCACUACAGAUGGGGUGGUGGCACAUGGGGAGGAUGGGGAUGCCAUGGGAUGGUGGCACAUGGAAGGGUGGAGACGGUAUGCGAUGGUGGCACAGGGACAGGAUGGAGAUGUGGUGGGAUGGUGGCACAUGGAAGGGUGGAGAUGCCAUGGGAUGGUGGCAUGGGGACAGGAUGGAGAUGCCCUGGGAUGGUGGCACAUGGAAGGGUGGAGGUGUUCAGAAAUGGUGACACGUGGGCAGAGUGAAGGUGCUGUGGGAUGGUGGCACAUGGGAGGAUGGAGACAUCCAGUUUGGCACAGGGACAGGACGGAGAUGCGGUGGGAUGGUGGCACAUGGAAGGAUGGAGACGGUAUGCGAUGGUGGCACAGGGA